UACGGAGGGGGCCAGCGUUGCUCGGAAUUAUUGGGCGUAAAGGGCGCGUAGGCGGCCAGGUAAGUUUGAUGUGAAAUCCCACGGCUUAACCGUGGAAUUGCAUCUUAUACUGCCUGGCUAGAGUCUGGGAGAGGGAAGUGGAAUUCCCGGUGUAGCGGUGAAAUGCGUAGAUAUCGAGAGGAACACCUGCGGCGAAGGCGGGUUGCUGGGCUGACAC
rnacentral:rRNA from 1 species